GACGAACCGUGCGAACGUUAUUCGGAAUCACUGGGCUUAAAGCGCGUGUAGGCGGGACGGCACGUCGGUCGCUGAAAUCCCCCGGCUCAACCGGGGAACGGGCGCCGAUACGACCGGCCUGGAGGGGCGUAGGGGGACCUGGAACUUCCGGUGGAGCGGUGAAAUGCGUUGAGAUCGGAAGGAACGCCCGUGGCGAAAGCGGGUCUCUGGGCCGUAACUGACGCUGAGGAGCGGAAGCGUGGGGAGCGAACAGG
rnacentral:rRNA from 1 species